rnacentral:rRNA from 1 species
UACGUAGGUGACAAGCGUUGUCCGGAUUUACUGGGCGUAAAGAGCGCGCAGGCGGUCGUUCAAGUCGAGUGUGAAAGCCCCCGGCUCAACUGGGGAGGGUCACUCGAUACUGAUCGACUCGAAGGCAGGAGAGGGUAGUGGAAUUCCCGGUGUAGUGGUGAAAUGCGUAGAUAUCCGGAGGAACACCGGUGGCGAAGGCGGUUCUCUGGGACGGUACUGACGCUGAGACGCGAAAGCGUGGGGAGCGAACAGG